rnacentral:rRNA from 1 species
AACGAACGCUGGCGGCAUGCCUAACACAUGCAAGUCGAACGAAACCUUCGGGUCUAGUGGCGCACGGGUGCGUAACGGGUGGGAACAUGCCCUUAGGUUCGGCAUAACUCCCCGAAAGGGGUGCUAAUACGGGAUAAUGUCUUCGUACCAAAGAUUUAUCGCAUUUGGAGGUGCCCGCGUUGGAUUCGCUAGUUGGUAGGGUAAAAGCCUCCCAAGGCGACGAUCCAUAACUGGUCUGAGAGGAAGAUCACCCACACUGGGAGUGAGACACGGCCCAGACUCCUACGCAAGGCAGCAAUGGCGAAUAUUGCAAAAUCGGCUAAAGCCUGAUCCAGUAAUGCCGCGUGAGUGAUGAAGGCCGUAGGGUUGUAAAGCUCUUUUACCCGUGAUGAUAAUGACAGUACCGGGAGAAUAAGCUCCGGCUAACUCCGUG